UGGGGAAUAUUGCCCAAUGGGCGCAAGCCUGAUGCAGCCAUGCCGCGUGUAUGAAGAAGGCCUUCGGGUUGUAAAGUACUUUCAGCGAGGAGGAAGGCGUUGUGGUUAAUAACCGCAACGAUUGACGUUACUCGCAGAAGAAGCACCGGCUAACUCCGUGCCAGCAGCCGCGGUAAUACGGAGGGUGCAAGCGUUAAUCGGAAGUACUGGGCGUAAAGCGCACGCAGGCGGUCUGUCAAGUCGGAUGUGAAAUCCCCGGGCUCAACCUGGGAACUGCAUCCGAAACUGGCAGGCUAGAGUCUUGUAGAGGGGGGUAGAAUUCCAGGUGUAGCGGUGAAAUGCGUAGAGAUCUGGAGGAAUACCGGUGGCGAAGGCGGCCCCCUGGACAAAGACUGACGCUCAGGUGCGAAAGCGUGGGGAGCAAACA
rnacentral:rRNA from 1 species